ensembl:lncRNA
GCUUGGUUAUUUUUUUUUUUUAAAUAUAUAUAUAUAUAUAUAUAAUCAUGCAAACCUUUAGAUUAGUUUUGGAAGUGGUUUUAGGUAGGAGAGUGUGCACCAAUGGCAUGUUUUAAAAUGGGAUCACAACCGCUAUGUAAGUAUGCAUGUCUGUACGUUGUGUUAAGUGUCAGAACACAAAACUAAAUGUUAAAAAGGCUGGUAAUAACAAUACUCAGAACAGGUUAUAUCACACAACCUCUGUCCAGGACCUGUCUCUUAUUCAUCUGUUUAUACUAGCAUGCCUGUCUUUAUAGGAUAUAUCCACUACUCUGGCAAAAAAAAAAAAAAAGGAACUAAUAAUUCAGCAAGUAUUAUUAUUGGAAUUGAUUACAUUAAAAAUAUGCAUGGCCUGAGGAAAACUACCAAGAAAAUUCCAAUCCACCACCAAUCUUUUCAUGGCAUCUGCCCUGUAACAGACUGUUUUCAUGGCGUCUGCCUCGUUACAGACCGUUUUCCUUUAUUCUUAUAUACUGAGAGGCCCUGAGUGAUUUUUUUUCUUCUUCUCAAACUCACAAUAUAUGCCAGUGAACAGAUAUGUACACACAGAUUAACUCUCAAAGCUGUGGGUUUACUUAGAACUCAUUAAAAUGGCUUUUUUCUUUAAGGUGGCACACACAUCACAAAGAGACUCACAUUCGCUAUAGAAAACAUGGCAAGGUCCCUUUACACAAGAAAGCAAGUGUCCAUCCUAAAAGUUACUGCCUAUCAGUGCUCAUUGGGGUAGAUAGGAAUAGAGUCACCCUACUCACAUAACAUGUAGGAAAAACCCCUGCAUUAACUUUUUUUUAAAAUAUAUAUACCCCACAACUAUUGUUUUGAAUAUCCGAACAAAGAUAAGCAGAGAGCAAUGAGUCCCAAAUGGCACACUAUUCCCUAAGUAGGCCCUGGUCACAGUAAGGCACUAUGUAGAGAAAACUGGGCCAUUUCGAACACAGACCUAAAGAUGUCCAAUAGUGUAUAACUACCAACAACACUUCUUCCUUCAUCUCUGUUUCUUUAACCUGUUCCUGUUCUCAUCCUCACUGUCAAAGUACAGUGGUCGCGGCUGGGACAGUGCCGGAGCGCUUUGUGUCACCCGUGACGUUUACAACAUUCUUCUGUCUUCAAAACAAGACGAUUCUUUCACACUGAAGCUAUGCAUACAAUGCUUUAUGUUUCAUAACACCAUUAGUUUAGUUAGCGCAGCCUAAAGAAGACCUGACUAAGUUAAGUUGCUAUUAGAAUUGAACACAUACCAUUAACCAUACACAAACCAUGUUAGUGCUGACCUCUGACCUUCAAUGCGUUUUCACUAAGAUAAAAAUCAAUAAAUAACACCAUUUAAAAACUGGCUACUCUUAAAACAAGGGGAAAUGACAAAGGACUUUUUUUGAUUAGUAAUAAUAGGUUUGUGCUUG